rnacentral:rRNA from 1 species
AAAUAACAAUACGGGGCUUAAUGUCUUGUAAUUGGAAUGAUGGGAAUUUAAACCUCUUCCAGAGUAUCAAUUGGAGGGCAAGUCUGGUGCCAGCAGCCGCGGUAAUUCCAGCUCCAAUAGCGUAUAUUAAAAUUGUUGCAGUUAAAAAGCUCGUAGUUGAAUUUCUGCUGCAUUGCAUUUUCUCCUAUACGAGUUUUUGCAUUGUGGCUUAUUUCGGUUAUAAAAUUUAUUUUAUUUCCGGAUGUUUACUUUGAGAAAAUUAGAGUGCUCAAAGCAGGCUUUUGCCUUGAAUAGUUUAGCAUGGAAUAAUAAAGUAGGACUUUGGUUCUAUUUUGUUGGUUUUAGGUACCAAAGUAAUGGUUAAUAGGAACAGUUGGGGCAUUCGUAUUUA